rnacentral:rRNA from 1 species
AACGAACGCUGGCGGCGCGUCUUACACAUGCCAGUCGAACGGCAGUACGGGGCUUGCCCCUUCUGAGAGUGGCGGACUGGUGAGUAACACGUGGGUGACAUACCUUUUAGUUUUGGAUAGCUAUUAGCAAUAGUAGGUAAUACCUAAUGUCGCCUUCCCUCUUCGAGUGGUACGAGGAAAUGUUCUGAGGCUUCGCUAAAAGAUUGGCUCGUGGCCCAUUAUGCUAGUUGGUGGGGUAACGGCCCACCAAGGCGAUGAUGGGUAUCCGGCCUGAGAGGGUGAACGGACACAUUGGGACUGAGAUACGGCCCAGACUUCUACGGGAGGCAGCAGUUAAGAAUAUUCCGCAAUGGACGAAAGUCUGACGGAGCGACGCCGCGUGGAUGAAGAAGGCCGAAAGGUUGUAAAAUCCUUUUAAGCCUGAUGAAUAAGCACAGUAGGGAAUGAUGGUGCGGUGACCGUAGGGCUUGAAUAAGCACCGGCUAAUUACGUG